UCGACGUGAUCGUGUGUGCCGGCAACGUGAUGGCCUUCGCCGGGCCGUCGACGCGGGUGGAGAUCCUCCGCCGGUUCGGUGUCCACCUCGCCGGG
rnacentral:tRNA from 1 species